GACGUAGGGCGCGAGCGUUGUCCGGAUUUAUUGGGCGUAAAGAGCUCGUAGGCGGCUCGUUGCGUCGGCUGUGAAAACCCGCAGCUCAACUGUGGGCUUGCAGCUGAUACGGGCGGGCUGGGAUUCGGUAGGGGAGACUGGAAUUCCUGGUGUAGCGGUGAAAUGCGCAGAUAUCGAGAGGAACACCUGCGGCGAAGGCGGGUUGCUGGGCUGACACUGACGCUGAUGCGCGAAAGCUAGGGGAGCGAACGGG
rnacentral:rRNA from 1 species